rnacentral:snRNA from 1 species
AAAUUUUUUCGAAAGAAAAAAAAAAAAAUAUACUGUUCUUAUCAGUUUAAUAUCUGAUACGUCCCCUACCCGGGGACGUACAUAUUAAAUUAGUAUUUUUGGUUAGUCACGGAGGCUGGAGGCCGGGGCCGGUUGUCUCUGUCCACCUGUUUGUUUGUUUUUUACAAAGUUUGUAUUCCUU